rnacentral:tRNA from 1 species
AGCGAGGUGGGGCAGCCUGGAGUGCCCGCUGGGCUCAUAACCCAGAGGUCGUUGGUUCAAAUCCAACCCUCGCUA